CUCCUUUCAGGCUUGCACUUGGAGAGUUUCCAGUACUCUACCAGUCUUGGCUAUGGGAGGGAGAGUCAGGCAGAGGCCCGUCCAUUCCAUUCCUAGCUUGGCCAGUGGCUAGUGAGUGGAAGGCAAUCUUCUUCAAGU
rfam:Ornithorhynchus anatinus chromosome 1, whole genome shotgun sequence.